UGGGAGAAUUGGCAAAGAAUUAAGAGCAACCAAGAUAUGUGAGCUGAUUAUCGCCACCCUGUUUGCUAAGCUCUCACCAUUCCCAGACAAGCAAACACUGUGGUUUCCAACUGCAAGCCCUGAAACUCUGCCUGAAGCCUUCUCUAGCUUCCAGGAUUGCUGUGUUUCAUGGCAUAACAAGGCAGAAAGCCAAAACAGUUCAUGACUCCUGGGGACAGGUCAUAGAUAAAUAAACCUUGAUUUCCUUUCCUUGUCUUUCAGUUUGGGUGAUUUGGAAGAGUGUGCUGUAUGCUAAGCAACGCUGAGCUCUAGCCACCUUGAGUGAGAACCAGUGGCCUGUGUCAGGAGGUCAUACAAGGCAAAUUAAAGAAGAAAUCUUCUGAUGUGGUGGACAUGUUUGACCUCGGACAUAGCAACUCAAAAAUCUCCCUGAUGGCCUCUUUGCCACUAAAAAAACAGAUACUGGUUCCCCGCUCCCAUGGUUAAGAAGGAAGCUGGAAGAAAUUGCAGAAGAGUUUUCAAAGCUGUGAGUGAACCUUGUCAAAACCCAGAGGAAGAGUCUCAGGGAAACAGAGGUCAUGAAAUGUCAAAGAUGGAAAUUCAUUGAGGAUGCUUUCUGGCUCUGAAUAUUUCAACCUCUCUAAGAUGAGAAGGAAACUGAAAAUAAAAUUCUAAAUUAGUGCAAACACAUUCCAUGAGGAAAGGAAGAGUUCACUUUUGGGUCACUCCUAAAUUAACAUUGUAUUUAUCAGAACAGGUUGGUCCAUCCCAAUAAUUGGUGUGUUCUUUCCAAGGCUAAGUAAAAUUUUGUAAAGCAUCAAUUUGAAGAAUGUAUU